rfam:Triticum urartu cultivar G1812 contig627798, whole genome shotgun sequence.
AAUGUACUCCCUCCGUCCGGAAAUAGCUGUCAUCAAAAUGAAUAAAAGGGGAUGUAUCUAGAUGUAUUUUAGUUCUAAAUACAUCCCUUUUUAUCCAUUUUGAUGACAAGUAUUUUCGGACGGAGGGAGUAUGUU